CCUACGGGAGGCAGCAGUGGGGAAUAUUGGGCAAUGGGCGCAAGCCUGACCCAGCAACGCCGCGUGAAGGAAGAAGGCUUUCGGGUUGUAAACUUCUUUUCUCAAGGGCGAAGCAAGUGACGGUACCUGCGGAAUAAGCCACGGCUAACUACGUGCCAGAAGCCGCGGUAAUACGUAGGUGGCAAGCGUUAUACGGAUUUACUGGGUGUACAGGGCGGGUAGGCGGGAAAGCAAGUCAGAUGGGAAAACUCAGGGCUCAACCCUGAGCCUGCAUUUGAAACUGUUUUUCUUGAGUGCUGGAGAGGCAAUCGGAAUUCCGUGUGUAGCGGUGAAAUGCGUAGAUAUACGGAGGAACACCAGUGGCGAAGGCGGAUUGCUGGACAGUAACUGACGCUCAGGUACGAAAGCGUGGGUAUCGAACAGAAUUAGAUACCCCUGUAGUC
rnacentral:rRNA from 1 species